AGCGGCCCCAAGCUAACACCUGUGCCCAUCUUCCUCUCUUUUGUAUGAGGGACGCCAGCACAGGGUGGCCGAUGAGCAGUGUGUGGGUCCAUCCUGGGGUCCUAAAUCUGCCAACCCCGGGCCGGGAAGCAGAGCUUGGGAACUUAACCACUAUGCCACCAGGCCGGCCCCCAAAAUCACGGGAUGGAUCUUAAUGUCGUGCAGGUUUCUCUUCUGGCCAAGCCUAACCCGGAACCACGGAUGGAAGGGCGCUCCGAGACACAAGGCCCUGCCUCAGCUACGUUGUCACAAGAUGCAGCCAUCGCGGGCGCAGAGGGACGUCUUUGUCCAUCAGAUGGCGGCCCUGCCCCGCGUGUGGCCCUCAGUGGGGUCCAGUGACUUCACGAGCCUCGAGCUCCCUCCUGGGGCACCGGGCUCUGCGAUGUCUGCUCCCUGACCUCAGCCAGGACCCCCUCGCCCGUCCCGGCUGCACUGCUCCUCCUCGAGCUCCUCAGGCCUCCACGGGGCACCCUGGCCCUUGGACUUCAGUGCCCUCGGCCUGGGGUCCCCGUUCCAGGCCUCGGCCUCCACGGCCCUGCCUCCCUCUGGAACAUUUCCCUCCUUUUCUGGAGCCUCCGAGUUGGAAGAGACGGGCCUUCGGGAGGAUGCUGGCGGGAGGUGCGCCCGUCCUGCAACAGGAGGACGAGGCCGACCCAGACGUAUCUACGCACAUUGAGAGGAUUGGACUGGAGGACGUCUCUGGGCCUUUCCAGUCCUACAUCCUGUUCCAUUCUUUCCUAAAUUGAGUUGCAGGUCCUUCUAGUUGUGGCAUGUGGGACACCGCCUCAACAUGGCCUGAUGAGCGGUGCCGUGUCCGCGCCCAGGAUCCGAACCGGC
rnacentral:lncRNA from 1 species